UACGUAGGUGGCAAGCGUUGUCCGGAAUUAUUGGGCGUAAAGCGCGCGUAGGCGGCGCGAGGAGUCGGGGGUGAAAUCCCCGGGCUCAACCCGGGAACUGCGUCCGAGACUGGAAGGCUCGAAUCCGGGAGAGGGAUGUGGAAUUCCAGGUGUAGCGGUGAAAUGCGUAGAUAUCUGGAGGAACAUCGGUGGCGAAGGCGGCAUCCUGGACCGGUAUUGACGCUGAGGCGCGAAAGCCAGGGGAGCAAACGGG
rnacentral:rRNA from 1 species